AACGAACGCUGGCGGCGUGCCUAACACAUGCAAGUCGAGCGCGAAAGUCUUCAGAUGAGUAGAGCGGCGCACGGGUGAGUAACACGUGGGUAAUCUGCCCUCAGGCCCGGAAUAACCAAGGGAAACUUUGGCUAAUACCGGAUGAGACCACGCAACGAGAGUUGCGUGGGAAAAGUAGGGGAUCUCUUCGGAGGCCUUACACCAGAGGAUGAGCCCGCGUCCCAUCAGCUAGUUGGCGGGGUAAUGGCCCACCAAGGCUAAGACGGGUAGCUGGUCUGAGAGGAUGGCCAGCCACACUGGAACUGAGACACGGUCCAGACUCCUACGGGAGGCAGCAGUGGGGAAUAUUGCGCAAUGGGGCAAGCCCUGACGCAGCAACGCCGCGUGAGUGAUGAAGGUCUUCGGAUCGUAAAGCUCUGUCGGCAGGAACGAUGGCAAGUGCUAACAUCCAACGGCUUGACGGUACCUGCAAAGGAAGCACCGGCUAACUCUGUGCC
rnacentral:rRNA from 1 species